UGCCCAGCAACUCCUAUCCCUACCUCCUCGUGGUACUGGCCGGGGUACGAGUCACUUUGGGGAAGAUCGGGUAACCAACCCCGGUGGGAACUUUGGUCGUAUGCUGACAGGGAAGG
rnacentral:ribozyme from 1 species